GAUGAACGCUGGCGGCGUGCCUAAUACAUGCAAGUCGAGCGAACAGAUGAGGAGCUUGCUCCUCUGACGUUAGCGGCGGACGGGUGAGUAACACGUGGAUAACCUACCUAUAAGACUGGGAUAACUUCGGGAAACCGGAGCUAAUACCGGAUAAUAUAUUGAACCGCAUGGUGCAAUAGUGAAAGACGGUUUUGCUGUCACUUAUAGAUGGAUCCGCGCCGCAUUAGCUAGUUGGUAAGGUAACGGCUCACCAAGGCAACGAUGCGUAGCCGACCUGAGAGGGUGAUCGGCCACACUGGAACUGAGACACGGUCCAGACUCCUACGGGAGGCAGCAGUAGGGAAUCUUCCGCAAUGGGCGAAAGCCUGACGGAGCAACGCCGCGUGAGUGAUGAAGGUCUUCGGAUCGUAAAACUCUGUUAUUAGGGAAGAACAAAUGUGUAAGUAACUAUGCACGUCUUGACGGUACCUAAUCAGAAAGCCACGGCUAACUACGUG
rnacentral:rRNA from 1 species